CAGUAAGGAGGAAGUGGUUUGGUUAGAUUUGACCGGCUGUUAGACCCCGUGUUCAACUAUACUUAGCUGCAUAGCAGCCUGGGUCAUAGCAGGUGGGAAGAAAAAGCGGUCCGCGUUUCACGGCUGCUGCGGCGUUACGACGGGGGGAAAAGAGGCGUCGAGAUCGGUCGCCGGAUUGCAAACCGAAGAAACUGGUGGGGAAAUAACGAUACCACAAGAGCACAUACGACCAGUCCGCAGCCAUAACCGUGCCUACCAAGAACGACCGAGGCCCGCGGAUUUAAAUGCUAGCUAGAAUCUAAUGACGAUGACUGCACCAUCUUCCCGGAUUUCGCAACUGACCUCUGCGCGUUUCGCACGUAGAGAUACGGAACCGCAAACACCGCGAACGAAGAAGAAUUGCCCAGACGGGGAUUGAGCGUCGCCAGUUUCUGGAAUAUGAGAAAUAGACACGGAUUGCAGCCCGCGGAUGAAGAACCAGUUGCUCCAUAUAUAUAUAUAUAUAUAUAUAUAUAUGUAUAUAUGUAUACUACUGCUACGAAAUACGUACGUCAUGCGUAACUUUAUUGUGUAUACUUGGAAAAUAAAUGUGGUGCGAUAUCUUGCACUUCACCGUCGUAAGAUGA
rnacentral:lncRNA from 1 species